CUCCAUCAAGUUUAUUUCUCAAAGAAGAAGAGGUGCUCUUAAUACAAUUUCAUUAAUUUUUAGAUUAGACUGUGUUAUUCGCAGAAAAACUCAUUUACAACGCACUUACUUUUAUUACAGUUCUCAAAUUUCAAUGGGUAAAUCUGUAAAAAAAAGCCCAUUCAAAAAAUUCCCCUUUCCUGCUUUUAACAUUUGACCUAUAUUUACAAAAUUGUCCAUUUAAGCAUGUUGUGAUUAGUCAGAAGUGAUAAGAAAAACAUUUUUGCUAUAAAAGCAAAUCGAAUUCAAUUAAUCCCAGUUAUUGUCUAAACUAAUCUAAGCUUGAAAUAAUGAAACUCAUUGUGGUAUUAGUUGUACUUUUGGUGGUAGCACAGGUAAAAAAAAUUAUAUAAUUCAAAUUUUUCAUUCUAAAACUGGUUACUUUACUGCAGUGCUAUGCUCGCUCAAUUUAUGGAGACUCCUUUGCCAUAGAAACUCCCGAUUCUGAGCCUUUAUUUUCCGUCGAGCCACUACAACAGGACUCAUCUUUGGUGGAUUCGUUUACGCGUUCCAAACGCGGUGGAGGCACAGUAAUAAUUAUAAAGACAGCUAAUAAUAAAUUGUAGAAAAUCAAUUUGAAUCAUUUUAUGAUGCCAAUGUGAUAUUAUUUAAUAAUAAAAGGAAAAUAAAGAAAAUAAAAAAGGACAAAUAAA